GGGUUGUGAGGUUAAGCGACUAAGCGUACACGGUGGAUGCCCUGGCAGUCAGAGGCGAUGAAGGACGUGCUAAUCUGCGAAAAGCGUCGGUAAGGUGAUAUGAACCGUUAUAACCGGCGAUGUCCGAAUGGGGAAACCCAGUGUGAUUCGUCACACUAUCGUUAACUGAAUACAUAGGUUAACGAGGCGAACCGGGGGAACUGAAACAUCUAAGUACCCCGAGGAAAAGAAAUCAACCGAGAUUCCCCCAGUAGCGGCGAGCGAACGGGGAGCAGCCCAGAGUCUGAAUCAGCUUGUGUGUUAGUGGAACGGUCUGGAAAGUCCGACGGUACAGGGUGAUAGUCCCGUACACCAAAAUGCACAGGUUGUGAACUCGAAGAGUAGGGCGGGACACGUGGUAUCCUGUCUGAAUAUGGGGGGACCAUCCUCCAAGGCUAAAUACUCCUGACUGACCGAUAGUGAACCAGUACCGUGAGGGAAAGGCGAAAAGAACCCCGGCGAGGGGAGUGAAAAAGAACCUGAAACCGUGUACGUACAAGCAGUGGGAGCACCUUCGGGUGUGACUGCGUACCUUUUGUAUAAUGGGUCAGCGACUUAUAUUCUGUAGCAAGGUUAACCGUAUAGGGGAGCCGCAGGGAAACCGAGUCUUAACUGGGCGUUAAGUUGCAGGGUAUAGACCCGAAACCCGGUGAUCUAGCCAUGGGCAGGUUGAAGGUUGGGUAACACUAACUGGAGGACCGAACCGACUAAUGUUGAAAAAUUAGCGGAUGACUUGUGGCUGGGGGUGAAAGGCCAAUCAAACCGGGAGAUAGCUGGUUCUCCCCGAAAGCUAUUUAGGUAGCGCCUCGUGAACUCAUCUUCGGGGGUAGAGCACUGUUUCGGCUAGGGGGUCAUCCCGACUUACCAACCCGAUGCAAACUACGAAUACCGAAGAAUGUUAUCACGGGAGACACACGGCGGGUGCUAACGUCCGUCGUGAAGAGGGAAACAACCCAGACCGCCAGCUAAGGUCCCAAAGUCAUGGUUAAGUGGGAAACGAUGUGGGAAGGCACAGACAGCCAGGAUGUUGGCUUAGAAGCAGCCAUCAUUUAAAGAAAGCGUAAUAGCUCACUGGUCGAGUCGGCCUGCGCGGAAGAUGUAACGGGGCUAAACCAUGCACCGAAGCUGCGGCAGCGACACUAUGUGUUGUUGGGUAGGGGAGCGUUCUGUAAGCCUGCGAAGGUGACCUGUGAGGGUUGCUGGAGGUAUCAGAAGUGCGAAUGCUGACAUAAGUAACGAUAAAGCGGGUGAAAAGCCCGCUCGCCGGAAGACCAAGGGUUCCUGUCCAACGUUAAUCGGGGCAGGGUGAGUCGACCCCUAAGGCGAGGCCGAAAGGCGUAGUCGAUGGGAAACAGGUUAAUAUUCCUGUACUUGGUGUUACUGCGAAGGGGGGACGGAGAAGGCUAUGUUAGCCGGGCGACGGUUGUCCCGGUUUAAGCAUGUAGGCUGGUUAUCCAGGCAAAUCCGGAUAAUCAAGGCUGAGGUGUGAUGACGAGGUACUACGGUGCUGAAGUAACAAAUGCCCUGCUUCCAGGAAAAGCCUCUAAGCAUCAGGUAACAUCAAAUCGUACCCCAAACCGACACAGGUGGUCAGGUAGAGAAUACCAAGGCGCUUGAGAGAACUCGGGUGAAGGAACUAGGCAAAAUGGUGCCGUAACUUCGGGAGAAGGCACGCUGGUGUGUAGGUGAAGUCCCUGCGGAUGGAGCUGAGACCAGUCGAAGAUACCAGCUGGCUGCAACUGUUUAUUAAAAACACAGCACUGUGCAAACACGAAAGUGGACGUAUACGGUGUGACGCCUGCCCGGUGCCGGAAGGUUAAUUGAUGGGGUUAUCCGUAAGGAGAAGCUCUUGAUCGAAGCCCCGGUAAACGGCGGCCGUAACUAUAACGGUCCUAAGGUAGCGAAAUUCCUUGUCGGGUAAGUUCCGACCUGCACGAAUGGCGUAAUGAUGGCCAGGCUGUCUCCACCCGAGACUCAGUGAAAUUGAACUCGCUGUGAAGAUGCAGUGUACCCGCGGCAAGACGGAAAGACCCCGUGAACCUUUACUAUAGCUUGACACUGAACAUUGAGCCUUGAUGUGUAGGAUAGGUGGGAGGCUUUGAAGCGUGGACGCCAGUCUGCGUGGAGCCAACCUUGAAAUACCACCCUUUAAUGUUUGAUGUUCUAACGUUGGCCCCUUAUCGGGGUUGCGGACAGUGUCUGGUGGGUAGUUUGACUGGGGCGGUCUCCUCCCAAAGCGUAACGGAGGAGCACGAAGGUUAGCUAAUCCUGGUCGGACAUCAGGAGGUUAGUGCAAUGGCAUAAGCUAGCUUGACUGCGAGCGUGACGGCGCGAGCAGGUGCGAAAGCAGGUCAUAGUGAUCCGGUGGUUCUGAAUGGAAGGGCCAUCGCUCAACGGAUAAAAGGUACUCCGGGGAUAACAGGCUGAUACCGCCCAAGAGUUCAUAUCGACGGCGGUGUUUGGCACCUCGAUGUCGGCUCAUCACAUCCUGGGGCUGAAGUAGGUCCCAAGGGUAUGGCUGUUCGCCAUUUAAAGUGGUACGCGAGCUGGGUUUAGAACGUCGUGAGACAGUUCGGUCCCUAUCUGCCGUGGGCGCUGGAGAAUUGAGGGGGGCUGCUCCUAGUACGAGAGGACCGGAGUGGACGCAUCACUGGUGUUCGGGUUGUCAUGCCAAUGGCACUGCCCGGUAGCUAAAUGCGGAAGAGAUAAGUGCUGAAAGCAUCUAAGCACGAAACUUGCCCCGAGAUGAGUUCUCCCUGAGACUUUAAGUCUCCUGAAGGAACGUUAAAGACGAUGACGUUGAUAGGCCGGGUGUGUAAGCGCAGCGAUGCGUUGAGCUAACCGGUACUAAUGAACCGUGAGGCUUAACCUUACAACGCCGAAG
rnacentral:rRNA from 1 species